rnacentral:rRNA from 1 species
AUUGAACGCUGGCGGCAGGCUUAACACAUGCAAGUCGAGCGAGCGGCGGACGGGUUAGUAAUGUCUGUGCAACUGCCUGAUGGAGGGGGAUCACUACUGGAAACUGUAGCUACUACCGCAUACCAUCAGAUGUGCCCAGAUGGGAGUGGCUAGUAGGUGGGGUAAUGGCUCACCUCGGCGACGAUCCCUAGCUGGUCUGAGAGGAUGACCAGCCACACUGGAACGGAGACACGGUCCAGACUCCUACGGGAGGCAGCAGUGGGGAAUAUUGCACAAUGGGCGCAAGCCUGAUGCAGCCAUGCCGCGUGUGUGAAGAAGGCCUUCGGGUUGUAAAGCACUUUCAGCGAGGAGGCGUUACUCGCAGAAGAAGCACCGGCUAACUCCGUGCCAGCCGCCGCGGUAAUUC